rnacentral:lncRNA from 1 species
UAUAAAGUAGGUUAUAAUCUACUUUUUAUUUUUCAAUAUAAUUAUGUAUUUGGGAUUAGUUUUAGAUUAUAUUAGUAUUUUUUGUCAAUAGAUGAUAAAAAGAACUCCUAAAAGAACUUCACUCUGUUGAGUAUUAAGUGCUGGAUAAAAAAUAGGCUCUAUCAUGGACAGCCUACUCCUAUGAAUAGGUCAGCUAGAUUGAAGAGAAUAGGAAUUGAUAGACCAAGCCAAUAUAAGUUUUUCAAAAGGUUAGGAUCCAGAAUCAAAUUUGGUUCUCUGGAUAGAAAGUCAAAACUUUUCUGUGUGCAAAGUUUGAAAAUGGUUGAAUACAUUGUUCAUUAUACUAACAUUACUAAUCGAUAAAAUGUUUUUGGAAUAUUUAAUGGUAUAUUGUAAUUUUGCAAUGUAUGUGUUUUGCCUAGAUCCAGAAUUUGAUAUGAAUUUUUUUUUGCUAGUGAACUUUCCCUCCCUCCUCUCUUGUGGCAUUAUACAAGAAACUCUCAGUUUGAGUUCCUGCUUAAUGAGUUUCUGUGUUUACUGGUUUUCUUCAAUCAAAGUUUUUUCAAUGAAGUAUCAAAUAAAUCAAAAAUAAGAACAUUAAUUGAAUAAAUAAAUGCUGUUAAUAUUCAUAAAAAGGCAUUUUAAAC